UACGUAGGGUGCGAGCGUUGUCCGGAAUCAUUGGGCGUAAAGGGCUCGUAGGCGGUCCAUCGCGUCGGGAGUGAAACGCUGGGGCUUAACCCCAGUCCUGCUUUCGAUACGGGUGGACUAGAGGUAGGCAGGGGAGAAUGGAAUUCCUGGUGUAGCGGUGAAAUGCGCAGAUAUCAGGAGGAACACCGGUGGCGAAGGCGGCAUUCUGGACUACAACUGACACUGAGGAACGAAAGCCAGGGGAGCAAACGGG
rnacentral:rRNA from 1 species